GGUGCUGUGGCGGAGUGGUUAACGCGAUUGACUAGAAAUCAAUUUCCUUCGGGAGCACAUGUUCGAAUCAUGUCAGCAUCG
rnacentral:tRNA from 1 species